ensembl:miRNA
AGUUGGGACUGUCAUGGAGGGCCGCAACCUUAUUAGAAAGGGCCUCCACAACAGUCCCAGGUC